UACGAAGGACCCAAGCGUUAUCCGGAUUUAUUGGGCUUAAAGGGCGCGUAGGCGGAUUAUUAAGUCAGUGGUGAAAGCCUACAGCUUAACUGUAGAAUUGCCAUUGAUACUGAUGAUCUUGAGUAUGAUUGAGGUAGGCGGAAUGUGUCAUGUAGCGGUGAAAUGCUUAGAUAUGACACAGAACACCGAUUGCGAAGGCAGCUUACUAAGUCAUAACUGACGCUGAUGCACGAAAGCGUGGGGAGCAAACAGG
rnacentral:rRNA from 1 species